rnacentral:rRNA from 1 species
CAUGUAGGCGGUUAAGUAAGUCUGAUGUGAAAGCACACAGCUCAACUGUGAUGUUGCGUUGGAGACUGCUUGACUUGAAUCCGAGAGGGGUGUGUGGAAUUCCUAGUGUAGGGGUGAAAUCUGUUGAUAUUAGGAAGAACACCAGAGGCGAAGGCGACACACUGGCUCUGGAUUGACGCUGAGAUGCGAAAGCGUAGGUAGCGAACAGGAUUAGAUACCCUGGUAGUCC